GGUAGUGUGGCCGAGCGGUCUAAGGCGCUAGUUUUAGGUUCCAGUCUCUCCUGAGGCGUGGGUUCAAGUCCCACCACCGCCA